UUUUCGCUGGAGUAAAAACCAUUCUGGUAGGCCGUAAAUGGUGCUGUAAUGUUUCGCACCGUGGAAAAAUAAAUAUAUUCUCUUGUGUUAUUAUUGCUUGUCAUUUGAGACGAGAAGGGCUUUGUGCCUACGUUGGAUGACCUUAUCAACCGGCGCAAGCUAUCUUCACAAAAUCGCGUUCUUAGCUUUGUUAACGAGGGACCGUACGCAGUUUUCAUUACGCCGCACAGUGGAACGCUCGUGCGGUGUUGACUGACGCCACACAUCUCCGCGACGAACAAAGGAAGAGGCUGGUGCACCCUUGUUACAGCUUUUGAGAGAGAUAUUAUACAAUAAUUCAGCUAAAACCAACCCCAACGACGCUUUUGUUAUGGGUUUUUAACUUUAUAUUUUUUUAUUCGGAAUAACAAAACAAUUAGCCUGACUCACUCAGUCUUGUUAGCAACAUUGGCUAACGUUAGCUGCGAUUGUGGACAACUGGCAAGCUAACUGCUAACUUUAGCAUUGUUUUGAUUCCGGCCGGAACUUUUUAAGUUUUAUGCACAAUGGCUGAAGUAUAUAUUCGAGUGGCAGAAGAGGAAAAUGAGGAGCCAAUGGAGAUUCCUUCCGAGGACGACGGCACUGUUCUCCUUUCAACAGUGGCGGCUCAGUUUCCAGGGGCUUGCGGCCUACGCUUCAGGAGCCCCCUGUCUCAGUGCAUGCGGGGAGUUCGUCUGGUGGAAGGGAUCCUACACGCACCAGAAAACGGAUGGGGCAAUGUCGUCUAUGUGGUGAACUAUCCGAAAGUUUCUCUCUGUGUUGGUCACACUUCAGACAACAAAAGGAAAAUGGAGGAAAUUGAUGCCUCAUCUGCAGUGAAAAUGAAGAGAGGGGACAUGAAAACAUCAGAUCUGAUUGUACUGGGCCUUCCUUGGAAAACAUCUGAGCAGGACUUGAAAGACUACUUUAGCACAUUUGGAGAAGUCAUCAUGGUUCAGGUAAAACGUGAUGCCAAGACAGGAAACUCUAAAGGGUUUGGCUUUGUGAGAUUCACAGAAUAUGAGGCUCAAGAAAAGGUGGUCACCCAACGCCAUAUGAUUGACGGAAGAUGGUGUGACUGCAAGCUCCCUAACUCAAAGCAAGGGCCUGAUGAGCCAUUGAGGAGCCGGAAGGUGUUUGUUGGCCGUUGCACAGAAGACAUGACCACUGACGACCUGCGGCAGUUCUUUAUGCAGUAUGGAGAAGUCACAGACGUCUUCAUUCCAAAGCCAUUCCGUGCUUUUGCCUUCGUCACAUUUGCAGAUGAUCAGGUUGCCCAGUCUCUCUGUGGAGAGGACCUAAUAAUUAAAGGUGUCAGUGUUCACAUCUCAAAUGCUGAGCCCAAACACGGCAAUAGGCAGUUUGAUCGCACGACACGGUUUGGAAAUGGUUUUGGAGCUCAAGCAUUUGGUAGCAGCCGUAGCGGGGUUGGGAGCAGCACUAACAGUAGUCUGGCUAAUUUUGGUUCCUUCAGUCUGAAUCCGGCUAUGAUGGCUGCGGCCCAGGCAGCUCUUCAGAGUAGUUGGGGGAUGAUGGGUAUGUUAGCUAGCCAGCAGCAAACAUCCACCUCAGGCAGCACCUCUAGUGGGACUAGCUCCAGCAGGGACCAGAGUCAGUCUUUCAGUACGGCCAAUAGCAACUACGGCGCCAGCUCGGCCAGUCUCGGCUGGGGAACCGGGUCAAACUCUACAACCAGCGGUAGUGGGUUUAGCUCAGGUUUUGGGUCCAGUAUGGAGUCAAAGUCAUCCGGGUGGGGUAUGUAAGCUAAAUGUUUGUAUGGUAAGUAUUCUGACAGAGAAGAGUCUUUUAACAUUUUAUUUCUGGUGUUAUUGCGUAUCUGAUAAACUUAACACUUUUGUGGAAGAUGUUUUGUACAUUUGGAAAAAAUGCUAAAGAUUUAAUUUAGAAAGUGUUGCAGUGAGUUGUUUACCAGGAUGUCUGACUAAAGUGCUAUUUUUGACGUCUCAUUUGUUUGUAUCCAUUUCAACUGGAUUCUCUAAUGCAUGUAUUGUGAAAUGUGAUAUAGCCAUUUUAAAAAUGCAUGAAUGUUUGUGGUUCACCAUUAUGCGGCUUUGUCACCAACCUAAAAGGCAAUCUUGCAUUGGAAAGAAUCUGGUUGAAACCUAAAUGUUUUAAGUGCAAUUUUAUUUGCAGUCAAGUUUUGUGGAAAAGCCUUCAUUGAAAUCUCUUCUGCAGUUCACCUCUCUUCCAUUUUCCUGUGAGGAAGCUCCUCUAUGGCAGCAUUCUUGGGGUGAUAUCGGUAUCAUUCUCCCUCUUCCCACCUGUAAAUGCUAUGCCAUCAAAGAACGGCUUCACUCCGCAUGUUCUAAGAGACGGGACCUUGGGCUCUGCUGGUCGAGGUCUCCGUUUGAACCCUGACUGAAGUCUGUUCUGGAUGAAGACGGAAGUACCAACACUUUCAGUGUGUGGCCUUCUCAGAUAUUGGGUAGUACCUGUCUUUUUGCUGCUUUUGAUGGCUUGUCGGUGUGAAUGAUCCCCCUUUGAUUAUCUACAGCGACUAUUAAGGUUAGAGGGCAAUUUUAAGGGGGGGGGGGGGUCAUUGUCAUUUGAACCCAACAAGAUGAGCUCAGCAGUCUGGCAUCAUCCUUCCAAACUAUCUUAUUUCAGUAAUUUGGCUUAAGUAAUUAAACAGCUAGUGAUACGUUGCUGAGCCUAAGAAUUAGGGACGUUUAGAUGGCCUUAUACACUUGGCAACCACUUGAUACGGUCGAUUGCUUUAGAUAAUACAAGGUGUAUUAACAAAGUGGCCACAGAGUGUACUCUCAGUCAACUGUACAAUUACAUAUUUGGAUAAUUUGUUUUAAGAAACAAGGUAGGUACAUUUAGCACAGUUCUGGCAAAUGCACAAAUAUAUCAUUUUGCAUCAGCAGGCCACAGGACAGAUAAGAUAUUAAUUCUAAGUGUACAUAAAACUACAGUUAUUUAUUAAAUGUCUUAAGUGUAGAAUCCCCAUAAAAGUAAUGACAGCCAUGACACUUAAAUGAUUGAUAAUAGCAUUAACGUUUAUUUUGAAUGUUGGGCACAAGUGAGACACUGCAGGGCUGCCUUUGUCCUUUCCUUAUUCUUUGCUCUCCUCCUCAGUGUCUCUGCUUUUCCUCUUCCCAGUACUCUUCUUUUUCAAUUCCCUCUGCUCCUGGUUCAGUUCUUCACUUUUGUUUUGUAUGUGGGUGGACUGAAAUAAAUAAAGGCAAGUUAAACAAA